UAGAAAGUGACCCAGAGAGGUUGUGGACUUU
rnacentral:piRNA from 1 species